AACAUCUUUAUUAUUUUGAACAUGUCAAGUUAAUAUAUAGUAUCUGAGAACGUAAAGAUAUAUUAGAAUAUAGGCACAAAAGCAGAUCACUAACACUUUGAAAGACAUUUAUAGUACAUCUCUGGAAAAAAAACUCACAUUGCUCAGAUGGAAAGCCAAUAGCCUACACAUCACAUUUGUCA